AACGCAUAUUGCGCUCUCUGGUAUUCCGGGGAGCAUGCCUGUUUCAGCAUCAUUUGAACACAUCAAAAUCGUUCCUUUUUGGAGAAUUUUGGAAGCUGGGCCUUUGUGUUGUGUGAUCACGACUGGCCUGAAAUUUGUAACAAAUCAAUGCAAGAACAAGUGCAGAUGCUUGACGGUAAAAGACGAAAAGCUUAUUAGUUGACUGCGGUCAAACUUGCUGACUAGUCUUCAAACUCAAGAGCAAAUCUACUCUUACAACUUGAUCUGAAAUCAGGUAGGAUUACCCGCUGAACUUAA
rnacentral:misc_RNA from 1 species